GGGCACAUGGUCUAGGGGUAUGAUUUUCGCUUCGCAUGACACGCUCUUGCCACUUGUGAAAGGCCGGGGUUCGAAUCCCCUGUGUCCA